rnacentral:rRNA from 1 species
UACGUAGGGGGCAAGCGUUGUUCGGAAUUACUGGGCGUAAAGGGCUCGUAGGCGGCCAACUAAGUCAGACGUGAAAUCCCUCGGCUUAACCGGGGAACUGCGUCUGAUACUGGAUGGCUAGAGUUUGGGAGAGGGAUGCGGAAUUCCAGGUGUAGCGGUGAAAUGCGUAGAUAUCGGGAGGAACACCGGUGGCGAAGGCGGCUCUCUGGGCCUUACCUGACGCUGAGGAGCGAAAGCGUGGGUAGCGAACAGG